AAAACACUAGCAUUUUUGCAGAUUUCAGUUGUAAGAUAGAGAACAGGUAGAGCUGAGAAGAAAGAUUCAACUGUUCUUCCCCAUACAGCUUUGUAAUAAAGAGCAUAAAGUCUCUUUGUUUACUCUUUCCAGUGAAAAAGACCCCUAGAAGAUAAGAUGUGGAUGUUCAGUUAUAAAGUUUGGAAGACUACGUAAGAGACAGCAAUAUGGUGUGGAGGGUAGACCUUGAACAGCCUUAUGGCACGGAAUGACAUCCUCUAUUGUGAGCCAUCCAUUCCCUCCUUCUUGGGCCUGGCAGGGCUGGCUGACCAGAUAAAUAGGACUAUCCUCAGUGCAUAUUCACUACCUGGUGAAAUGAAGAGUUAAAGUGAAAGGAAAUGGAGUGUGACAUCAGACCUGAGGCCAAGUCCUUAAUUUGUUUUCUUGCUAAUGCUGAACUCAAGGAAAUCAACUGGAUCCUUGCCUGAGUAAGUACUAGGCAGAAAUUAAGGAAGGGUUUGAAGACAGGGUCUUUGAUGAUUAGGUCAAUG
rnacentral:lncRNA from 1 species